rnacentral:lncRNA from 1 species
UAUUGCAGAGUGAACAACAGCAUUCUGCAACUCGGCAAGAAGACCGAGGCGUUACAACUCUCUCUGCCGAAACAUUACAUAGAGACUGAUUAUGAACACAAGCAACACUACCGUCAUAUGAAGAAUCACUCACAGCGAAAAUGGAGCUGACAUAUUUGUCCUCAAGCCAGCUUCCCACAAAGCAAAUACAUGAUGUAGUGCAAAAUACAAUGUUCCGUCGCGGCUCUCGGUUCCUCAAUUACAGUAUCUCAGGGAAAAAUAAGGUUCCUACACAUUUUGUAGUGAUAAAAGAAUUGUUGGGAGAGUAAUAGUACCAUUUGUUGAAAUUCUCCCUGCAAGGAGAGCAGAGUCUGGCUCCUAAGAUCGACUAAGUACCCUUCUCCGUAAUGGAACAUGCAGUAGCUGAAAGAACCACCUCAAGAUGAUUGGUCUCCUUGCAGACCAUGCUUCUCCUCGAGCUGGAUGCUUCAUCUGAUUGUUCAAUCCAUUUUCCUUGAUGCUUCAUCUGAAUGUUCCCUAUUUGUUUCUUCCCUUCCUUAUUUCCCUGUUAAGGGAACUCAAUUCUUAAACUUAUUUCUCGCUGUUGGCUUAUUGAUGAUUCCGAAGACUGCUUGUUGACACCUAGGAAAUUCGAAGGCAUAAGAAAAUUAAGAGGAUUGGGUGUAAAGGGGCGAGGUGGGACUAUUUAAUAGAAGGAACAACCAUCUUUUCCACAAAAAACACUGGGCUAGCUUAGUUGGUUGUGGCAAUAGGUAUGCGACACGGAGAUGGCUUCGUGGGGCGGGUGUUUUUGCCCAAGAAAAUUGAGCGAGGGAGGGUAGGUGAACAGAUCAAAAAUACCAUCAAGUCAAGUUGGUCUUUGCUGCAGCUAGUUGCACCAAGAGUUGCUCUAUUACAUGUACUGAUGCGCGGUAAAAGGAUUUAGAUUCUCUAAUGUUAUUGUCUAAAACCAACAAGGAAUAAUAAAAAUAAUAUUUGAUCAAGGAUGAUGCAGCUCCUUCAGCAAAUUUCGUGAAGUUCUGCUACCUGGUAUAACAUGUUUACUAUUUGUAUUAUCACAGCUAACCACUAAUGCGCACCUUCAACCAAAUAACUACAGAGAUGUACAGUGGAACCAUUUAGUACCUGUGACCACGGCGACGAUCUUUUUUUGCUGGAACUGUUCUUUUUUUUUGCUGGGGCCGGCCAACUUUUUUGCUGGAAACAUAAAUUUGUUCUGUUGGCAAAAAAUAUAAAUAGAGCAUUAACUAACAGCAAGGCUAUUGGAUUUUGAA